UGCCGUCCCAUAAUUCCUUGUGUUAUAAAUAAAGUUAAUUUAAAAAGAAGCCCGGUGUUAGUGCCGUGGGAUUCUUUCUUUUCUUGAUUCCUUAUCAGUUCUUCUUCACCUCAUUUUCCUAUCGAGGUCGAGGAGAAGUGAGAGCUGAGGUCAAAGGUCAGAUGACGGAAAACAUGAUGGAUCAAUGUGAGGAAGCUCGGCUGACGUUUAAGUCACUUCCUCUUCUCUUACAGGUGGGCGGGGCCUGAUCAGGACUGACCUGGAACACCUGGAACCUGAGCUCUCAACCCUCUGGGGUUUUUGGCUCAUUUCUUACGGAGAAGAAAGGCGAAAUAAAAGCAACAUAAAGGAGCGAGGAGCCUGAGGAGGUGGACGUGGCGUAGGGCGGACAGAGCGGCGCCACCGACACACACACACACACACACCGCCACAAUCCAGCCGACUUCCUCAGGUCCGCCGGGAGCAGACUGAGACGUGACAUGUCAGGUGAAAGUAACCGCAGUUUGACCCGCUGCAGAAGUGUCAUCGCUGAUACUGACUCGUCAAUGACGGAGGGAGAGAGAGAGAGCACAUCUGUCGGUCGCAGCGUCUAGGUGUAUCCAACAUGGCCGCGGGACUCGCAGCCGGGCAAGAGGUGACAUGACGGCGUGGGCGGCG